AUGAGACAGCGAAGAAGAAUAAACCAGCAGCUUUGGUUAGCUUGAUCAAACAAGAAAAGGAAGAAUAAAAACAAAGCUGUGUGAGGGGUCCAUUUCUAUGUGCGAGAAGACAAAAAAUAAAACCUUUUUAUUGUUUUUAUUAAAAGAGACAGGUACACAAUACAACUUUGCUACAAUACUAUAAUGUCUUUCUUUUGUUGCCGGCUACUGGCUAUGUUGUUAACGUUACAUUUUUGCAUUGUGUUGUAAUAAUAUUGGUAAGAUUGUGAUUCCAUAACAGGCUGUUCCAGAAAAUAUAUGAAUGUAGGGUACAUGUCUAUAGAAUAUACUUCUUUUGACAUUGUAGUUUACGACGUGGUCCACCACCAACGGUUGUUAUCUUUGUAAUUGUUUGUGUUUUUCCUUUUUUGCGGACUUUGGUAAUAUGAUAAAUUAGUGAUUGAUAUGCACAUAAUGACUUGAUUAACUAGGUGAAAAUGUUUAAUCGUCUUUAAAUGUAAAUUGUGUUAAAUGAAUGAAUGUUGUUUAUUGAUGUGAUAAAUGCUUGAUGAUGAUUAUGGCGUUGAUGAUUUUGGUAAAGAUGAUUUAUUGAUGAUGAUAAUUCAUGAUGGUGUGUGUAUAUGUAUAGGUAUAUAAUGGUGAUGAAUACAUGUACAUAAAAUGGUGAAAUUGGUGAUGGUGAUGUCUUGUAUGAACAUAUGCGUUUGGUGAGCCAUAUAUUCAUGCAUCAUAGGUUGUCGGAUAUUUAGUGUCCAGAGUGGUGAAAUAAGAUGUUUUAGCAUCCGAAGUGGUGAAUAGGAUAUUUAGUAUCUGAAAUGGUGGGAUCAAUCGGUAAAAUAACUCCGACAUCUAAAAAUGAUACCGCAUGCAUGUAGAGUUGUGUCUAGAGAAUUGCAUGCAUAAGAAUCUAUGGGAAAUGUCUCAUACUUGAUUUUGGUGAAUAAUGUGAUGUAUGUGGGUUAUGUGCAUUAUGUGAAUUAUAUGCAUUAUGUGGAUUAUGUGCUUUAUGUGAAUAUAGAUGGAGAUAAGUCUAUGGUUAUACUUUUAAAUGAUGAUGCUAGUGUAAUUUGAUGAUUUAUGAUGAAUGGAGAAUGAUGUAAGAAGCUCUUGGUGCUUAUUUGAGUAUGAUCACUCUUGUAUGACUAGUGUUGUUAAUUUAUGAAUAAAUGUUAGGUUUAUAGGCUAUAGUUGGCUGCAUUUUGUUAAAACAAGUGUUCUAGCAAGAUGUCGGACAAAAUAUCUUGAUAUGUUGGUACGACAUCAUAGUGUAACUUGUUCUGCUUUCUUGGAUGUUUUAUUUUUACAUGAGAUCUCUGAAGAUUCUAUGAAGAUAUGAUUCACAUGGAGUGUUGACCAAGAAGCACGUGGUUUCUAGAAGCAGUGAUAGGCGGUUUAUCUUUGUCGUGUUUCUUAAGUGUGAUGUUGUAACAUUUAAGGAAACAUUUUAUUUGCUUCAGAAUAUUGUGCUGAAGACGUGUGGAUCAGCUGUAUAUUUAGCUCAUUUUAUGCAUCUAGUCAUUCUGCAUUCAGGCUAUAUAAAGGAAGAUUGUAAACCUAAUGUACUUACUGAAGCAUCAUUUCAGAAGUGUCUAUUAGGGUUUUAUGCUAUCCUUGUUUUUUUGUGAGCCACUCUUGUAUCACCUUGAUGCUAGAGUUGGACUGUUAGUUGAGUUGUAAGCUUUGAAUCACUCGUAAGCUUUUAAGAAAGAGUGAAUUUUUUUUUCACGAAGUGUGGUUCCAUUUCAUUUGUAAUUGUUGAUUAUCACUAGUAGUGAUUGAGCGGAAGUGAGAGGGGUCUCAUAUCUAGGUGUGUCUUAGAUAGAAAUUACAUGGGUAGUGAUUAGGUGCGAAGCUAGUAGAACGGAGGUUUUUACGCAUGCUUCAAACUAACACUAUUAUAGUGAAUUUUCUUCCUGGCUUGGUAGCCCCCAGACGUAGAAGACGUUGCACCGAACUGGGUU
rnacentral:lncRNA from 1 species